rnacentral:rRNA from 1 species
UACGUAGGGUGCGAGCGUUGUCCGGAAUUAUUGGGCGUAAAGAGCUUGUAGGCGGUUUGUCGCGUCUGCUGUGAAAAUCCGGGGCUCAACCCCGGACUUGCAGUGGGUACGGGCAGGCUAGAGUGUGGUAGGGGAGACUGGAAUCCUGGUGUAGCGGUGAAAUGCGCAGAUAUCAGGAGGAACACCGAUGGCGAAGGCAGGUCUCUGGGCCAUAACUGACGCUGAGAAGCGAAAGCAUGGGGAGCGAACAGG